rnacentral:rRNA from 1 species
AAUUUGCUGUACGACUUCACCCAGAAGUCGCCAGAUCUGCCGUGGUAAUCGCCCUCAUACAGUUGAGCUAGCUUGCUACAGUAAAACCGCCCAUAGUAUGACGAGCAAAAUAUUGCGAACCGAAACAUAUUCACCGCGACAUCUGAUCCGCAAUAUAACAUUCGGCACCACCAGUCGGUGCAGACGAUCGGACUACGAUCGGGUUUCUGGGAUUGGCUCCCUCGCCGGGUUGGCGACCCUCUGUCGACCAUUGUAUGACGUGUGACCUACCGCAAGGAGACAUGAGGACUUGACGUCAUCACAGCACCCUCGGUUCACCGGCGAUCAUUAAGAGUGCCGCUCGUAACAACUAAUGACCAAAAUUGCACUCAUUACGAGACUCUUAACAUCUCGACCUGGCUGACGACAGCCAUACGCGCCUGUAUUCCGGGCUAUACACGGCUGCUCUAAGAUCUGCUGAGAUUCCGGAACAUAUCAAAAGUAGUAAAUUUCCGCGACGCAUCAGGUAAUCCACAUCAUCCACCACUUUGUGCGAGAAUCCCCAUCAGUGCCAGGUUUUAAUCUUGCGACCAUGCUCCCGGGCAGUCAACUUCACGCGUUAGCUGCGCCUGCAGGCCGGGCCCGGCAGCUGAAUUGACAUCGUUUAGGGCGUGGACACCGGGGUAUCUAAUCCUGUUUGCUCCCCGCUCGUGCAUGAGCGUCAGUGUUAUCCCAGGAGGCUGCCUUCGCCAUCGGUGUUCCUCCGCAUAUCCGCAUUUCACUGUUACACGCGGAAUUCACCUCCUCUGACACAUACCAGCUCGGUAAUUAAAAAUGCAGUUCAGAUUAAGCUCUGAGUUCAUCUCUUUCGAACCGCCUGCGCUUACGCCCAUCAGCUCGAUGCUGCUGCACCUACGUAAUACCACGGCACCUUUAACAUCAAUUAACCGGUGCUUAUUCUGCAGGUACCGUCAGUUGCACGGAGUAUUAUCCCGUACCCGUUCUUUCCUGCCAGUACUUUACUGGCGAGGCGCUUCAUCGCACACGCCAGGAUGGCUGGAUCGGGGUUCCCAUUAUCCGAAAUUCCCCACUGCUGCUAUCCCACCGAAAUCUGGGCCGUAUCUCAAUCCCAUGUGGCUGAUCGUCCUCUCGACCGGCUGCAGAUCAUCAUACUUAGUGAGCCAUUACCCCCACCAACUAACUAAUCCGAUAUCGACAUAUAAUAAUUGCGAGGCCGAAGGUCACGCUCCCCGAAAGGGCAUGUGCAUGUGUACGCUUUUCGCGUAGGUAUCUACACUACCUAGGCACAUUCGAUAUUACUCACCCAUUCGCCUCGCCGCAGACCGAAGUCGUGCCAUUCGACUUGCAUGUGUAAACGUCCGCCGGCAUUCAAUCUGAGCCGAGAUCGAGCAUCAUAUUUUUAUAAUUAUCCGAGAACAAUAUAA